GAUGAACGCUAGCUACAGGCUUAACACAUGCAAGUCGAGGGGCAGCAUAACGAUAGCUUGCUAUUGUUGAUGGCGACCGGCGCACGGGUGAGUAACGCGUAUCCAACCUGCCCUUGUCCAUCGGAUAACCCGUCGAAAGGCGGACUAACACGAUAUGCAGUUCACAGCAGGCAUCUAACGUGAACGAAAUGUGAAGGAAAAGGAUGGGGAUGCGUCUGAUUAGCUUGUUGGCGGGGUAACGGCCCACCAAGGCGACGAUCAGUAGGGGUUCUGAGAGGAAGGUCCCCCACAUUGGAACUGAGACACGGUCCAAACUCCUACGGGAGGCAGCAGUGAGGAAUAUUGGUCAAUGGGCGAGAGCCUGAACCAGCCAAGUAGCGUGCAGGAUGACGGCCCUAUGGGUGUAAACUGCUUUAUAGGGAAUAAGUGAGCCACGUGUGGUUUUUUGCAUGUACCCUAUGAAUAAGGACCGGCUAAUUCCGUGCCAGCAGCC
rnacentral:rRNA from 1 species